rnacentral:misc_RNA from 1 species
AAGUCGUAACAAGGUUUCCGUAGGUGAACCUGCGGAAGGAUCAUUAACACGUAUCCAAACGUUAAACCCCCCCGUGAACCUUCAGUGUACUCGUACGUCCGUUAGAAAAAGCAGCAAUCCCUGGUAAAUCAUCGCCGAACAGUUUUCGAUUCAGGGACGUCUGCAAGGAGCGUGCAUGUUGUGCGAAGCAAGUGGCCUGGCAUCCCCAAGCAGUUAGUGUCUGAAAGUGUCAUUAACUGUGUAAGGAUGACGCAGUCACGAUCGUUGGAGGCCCACACGGCCGACGACCGGGUCACUGGGCGCAAGCCCCCCUAUAACAAACGCUGCCAAUCGCGGCCGCGAUAAUACGCAGUCGACAAAAAACCGAACAACUGUUAACAAUGGAUAUCUUGGUUCUC